rnacentral:tRNA from 1 species
GGAGAUUAUAGCUCAGUUGGUUAGAGCAUCGGUUUGUGGUACCGAGGGCCGUGGGUUCGAGUCCCAUUAGUCUCCC